UAUCGCACAUAUAAAGGCGUCCAGGAGAAGCUAACGUUCCCACAGAUCAGCUAUUGUACCCGAGGAGGCUAGGGGCGCGUGACAUCAGACUUUACAGUACAGAGAAAUAGGAACGAGAACUUAGUGACAUAAACGGGACACACGUGACCUCCAAGUUAUCAUCCCAGAGAGAGGUUCAGAGCGAUCCAACCAACAUAUAAGAUGAAGGCUUUCUGCAUUUUACUGGCGCUUGCAGUAUUCAUGGCGUCCAUGACAACCACAUCAGGAAGAAGUUGCUACUUCAUGUGUUUGAGAGACUUAAUUUUGUGUAAACGGACGACGGGAACAGGAUGCUGCGACAAGUUUCUUGGUUCAUGCGCACCCGGAUGUGGAGUUAAGAACGCAAAAUGCAAAGGAACAAAACGCGGAAGCUGGAACAAGCGAGCUGAUUACGAAGAAAACCCACUGGAGGAAUAUUACCCCAUGAUCUGAUUCAAUUCCACGCUUAACAUCAUUUAGCUAGCAAAUGUAUGAUUAAAAAUAGCAGGAGUUUAAAAAUUUAAUGGAUACUGUUUUAAAAAACGCAACCUUAUUUCAUACAGCAGAUGAAAGAAUAUUUACUGUUCAUGAAUAUUAUAAUUGAUGUAAUUUCUUUUUCCAAACUUUCGUUGGAAAAGACCGAUUCGUUUAUUACUCUUUUAUAACUUUACCAGCGUUGAAUAACACCUUGAUCUUUAGUCCAUGACGUGACUGGGAACAUUCUUCUAUUGGGGAAGUAUUCAUUGUUAUAUUUUGAUAAUAAAUUCCAAGAAAACAUGCU